rnacentral:hammerhead_ribozyme from 1 species
AUCCAACUGACGAGUCCUAAAUAAGACGAAAUGCGUGUCUUGGGU